GAAAUUAAAGAAAUGGGGAGAAGACGAAGAGAUCCUAUGCACAAAAUUAAAAGUUAAGGGUUAAAAAGAUAUGACCAAUGGGUAGCAAUCCAAUAGACAAGAAUGUCAAUAGAAACCCAAAUUCCCUUGGACAUUAGAAUAAAGCAACACACAAAUGCAUAAUUAUAUUAUCUUGAAGAGAAAAAGCAUCAAAUAAAGAUAGCCACAUCCAAGC
rnacentral:lncRNA from 1 species